UACGGAGGAUGCGAGCGUUAUCCGGAUUUAUUGGGUUUAAAGGGUGCGCAGGCGGCCUGUUAAGUCAGCGGUAAAAGCCCGGGGCUCAACCCCGGCGAGCCGUUGAAACUGGCGGGCUGGAGUUGGAGAGAAGUACGCGGAAUGCGCGGUGUAGCGGUGAAAUGCUUAGAUAUCGCGCAGAACCCCGAUUGCGAAGGCAGCGUACCGGCUCCACACUGACGCUGAGGCACGAAAGCGUGGGUAUC
rnacentral:rRNA from 1 species